CGGCGAAAGUUUCUUUGUGGCCUUUUUUGGAGGGAGCUAGUGGGGGCUUCUCGCCGAAGGUGGAGAACGAGCCCUGCGAGUGAGGACGUGACACCCCGCCCCCAUAGAUGGCAGGGAGGCACUUGAUAAACUCGCCUGAGCCAGGUGUGGGGGUGGAAGCAGCAUUCCAUUGCAGCAACGUCUGCUCCCAGAUCAGACUCAGCUGGGGUUCCAGAGGGGAGAUGCUGAAAACGGGGAAGGAAAAGGAGCAAUCUAAAACCAGAGUGCCUCUGGUGCUGGUGGGAGGAGAAUAUCCCAAGGAGCCGGAGCCCCCCCUGAGAUGAAGAGCCAGGCGCCCCUUGGGGACCCCGAGAAAGAGCAACAAGUAGUCCCCUCCGCCGCAGAGCUAUCAGGAGAGUCUGUAUCUGAAGAAGGAAGACAGCUGGGGUUCCAGAUCCAAACUGAGAAGAGUGUCCGACGCACUCUGAGGCAGCACGUGGCAUUAAAUUGGAGAAAACUACAGAAGCCAGUCCACACAGUGUGGACUUUGGGGGCUCAGCUGCCAGUUGGUCUGAGCCCUGGAAUGGACUUGCUGUGUGGCCUUGGGAAAACCAUGUAGCCUCUCUGUUCUGUUUGUUUGUGCUAAAUCAUUGCUGAGGCUUCCUCCUGCACCAGUUUUCCAUUGCCGCUGUGAGUGGACAUGAGUCUUGACCAAAUCAUAAGUGCCUAGUUACUGGGAUAAAAAUGAGUUAGAAUCUGGGAUUCUGGUCCUUAACCCCGUGUCACCAUCUGCUGGAGCAGUGUGAUGACAGGGCCAGGUGAAUCAGAGUCACCCAACACUUGUUAUACACGCAGAUUCCUGCUCUGCUCCCUCUCCCACUACCCAUGCCCCACUGAGUCCAAACCUCGAGGGCGGGGCCUAGAAGGCCCCCUUCCUUUAUGGGUUCAUGGAGGGCAGAACAGCGACCCCACCCGGAGCCAGCCAUGCAUCAGUAGCUCUUCCUAUGUAUCAGGCAUGCCAAGGUGGUUUCUGGAAUCUUGUGCUUGUAUUUCCCUCUGCCUAGAAAGAUUUCCCAUAUGGCUGGUUUCUUCUCAUGUGUCACCUGCUCAGAGAGGCCUUGGCUGGCCUCCCCGUCUCUACUCACUAUCCCAUCACGUGUUUCCUUUUCUUCUCAGCACUGUCAUUUUCUGAAGUUCAUCUCAUCUCCUUGUAAAUUAUCUGUUGCUCCUACUGGAACAUAGACCUCCCAUCCCCCCCCACCCCGACUCCCACCCCCAGGGGCAGAAACCCUGCCUGGCUUAUUGGAGGCUAUACCCCAGCACGAGGCCCAUGGGAGGUGCUCAGUAAUAUAAGAAUUCAUGAAUAAAUGGACACUGGAGGAAUCCUCUUAUCUCUGAUGCUGAAGAUGCUUCUCUGAGAUGCAAGAAUGGACACCCUCUCCCUACCCUGGGGGACCUAGGCCUGCCCUGGGCGCGGUUUCUGAGGAAGACGAGGGGCACCUCCUGCCUCCCCACCAUGACCAUUGCUUCCCCAGCACCCAGAGAAGACCUCAGUGGAGCCAGAGCCGCGCAUCCAGCAGAGUCUCAGCUGGGGUUAUAGGACAGGAAAACCUUGACUUCAGGGGCUGUGGACUAAGUUCUCCUUACUUCAUCGUCUCCAAAACCAUGGGUGCCAGUGAAGCUGAGGUUAGAUGUGAACUGAGUGCUGCUUACCCACCAGAUCUUCCCUGCCGCCUGACUUUGACUGGACGGCUGACCUUGACACUUCCCAUACAAGCUUCUCUCUACUUUGCUAACCUGAUAGAACAAUGAUGUCAUAAAGAAACAAAUAGUAGGUGUUUAAUAAAUGCUUGCCAGUGUGAAAUAAGGAAGACAAUUGCAUGAGGACCUCCAAACUCUUCCUUACCCUCCAUCUAUUUAUUGAUAACCAUAAAUUAGUUUGUAAGGCAUUAUCCUGUUUGCAUCUCAGGAGCAGAAGAGGGAUCAGCAUUUCCUUGAUAUGAAGGAGGAAACUGAGCCUUAGAGGGUUGAAGGACCUGAGGAGACAGCAGGGGGAUUGGGGCUCAAGUCCCAGUGUCCUGACUCCAGGUUUCGUGUUCUUCCCACUCUGCCGUUAUUCUCAUCCAGCUUCCUCUGCAGACACUUCAUAGAGCUGUGACACGGGAAGCAGCGUGGCAGUGCCUCAUCGACUGGCCGUGACAAGGAGAAUUGACUCUCGGGAUAAGGAAAUCAAUGAGGGCUGAGGAGAGCAGCAAGGAAGGAGAGUAGAAGAUGGAGCUGGAGGAAACUGUAGGACUUGGCCAGAGGCCUAUCGAGGGAGAGCCUUCCAGACUCCGCGGGUCCUUGUGUGUGUCGUCCAAAGGGCCACAGAAAAGCCACCAGACACUGUGUUUUCAAGAGCUUAUGGAAGCAGUGAGAACGAGAAGAAAGUGUGAUCAAGCGCUGCCCGGGCCUCAGCUGUUUUCACAUCUAUUUUAUCUUGACCUGCAACAGCCCUGCAGGUACAGUGAUGCUCAUCUGACAGGUACUGCUGGUGAUGGUUUUGUUGGGUUUUGAGCACCAUAAUCCUCACACCAGGCCGUAAAUCUCAGGAGAAAACCAGCAUUUCUCAUUUUGUAAAGACAUUUUUUUUUACUUUGUCUC
rnacentral:lncRNA from 1 species